GGGGUGAAGUCGUAACAAGGUAACCGUAGGGGAACCUGCGGUUGGAUCACCUCCUUACCUGAAAGAACCUGCCUUUGUAGUGUCCACACAGAUUGUCUGAUGAAUGAUAAAUUUCAAAAUGUACUGAGAAGUGCAUUGUGAAAUUUUGCUCUUUAAAAAUCUGGAUCAAGCUGAAAAUUGAAACGACGCACUGUUUCCUUUCUCCGUAAUAAGAAAGGAAAAAUGGUGUGUUCGAGUCUCUCAAAUUUUCGCAACGCGGACUGUUUUACGAAACAGUUUCGGGUUGUGAGGUUAAGCGACUAAGCGUACACGGUGGAUGCCCUGGCAGUCAGAGGCGAUGAAGGACGUGCUAAUCUGCGAUAAGCGUCGGUAAGGUGAUAUGAACCGGUAUAACCGGCGAUUUCCGAAUGGGGAAACCCAGUGUGUUUCGACACACUAUCGUUAAGUGAAUACAUAGCUUAACGAAGCGAACCGGGGGAACUGAAACAUCUAAGUACC
rnacentral:misc_RNA from 1 species